rnacentral:rRNA from 1 species
CACGUAGGGGGCAAGCGUUUGUCCGGAAUCAUUGGGCGUAAAGAGCUCGUAGGCGGCUCAGUAAGUCGGGUGUGAAACCCUCAGGCUCAACCUGGGGACGCCACCCGAUACUGCUGUGGCUAGAGUCCAGUAGGGGAGUGUGGAAUUCCCGGUGUAGCGGUGAAAUGCGCAGAUAUCGGGAGGAACACCAGCGGCGAAGGCGGCACUCUGGGCUGGUACUGACGCUGAGGAGCGAAAGCGUGGGUAGCAAACAGGG